GACGAACCGAGCGAACGUUGUUCGGAAUCACUGGGCUUAAAGGGCGCGUAGGCGGGUGCUCAAGUCCGUGGUGAAAUCCUCCGGCUCAACCGGAGAACUGCCUCGGAUACUGGGCGUCUCGAGUGUGGUAGGGGUAUGCGGAACUAUCGGUGGAGCGGUGAAAUGCGUUGAUAUCGAUAGGAACACCGGUGGCGAAGGCGGGUCUCUGGACAGUUCCUGACACUGAGGCACGAAGGCCAGGGGAGCAAACGGG
rnacentral:rRNA from 1 species